AUGAAGGGGGAAGGGGGUAAAGCCAGGUCUUCUAGGGAUAAGCCUGAGGAAGUGGUAUUGGGAUUAGGAGCAAGGCGAGGGGCUUGGCUGAGGUGCGCCUAUACCAAUGCACGCAGCAUGGGCAACAAACAAGAAGAGUUGGAAGCCAUUGUGAGGCAGGCAAACUAUGACCUAGUUGCCAUAACGGAAACAUGGUGGGAUUGCUCCCAUGACUGGAGUGCUGCAAUGGAUGGCUACAAACUCUUCAGGAAGGAUAGGCGAGGAAGGAGGGGUGGCGGCAUGGCUCUCUAUGUCAGGGAAUGCUUUCAUGCUGCAGAGCUUGCGACUGGGGAUGAUGUGGUUGAAUCCCUAUGGGUAAAGAUCAGAGGAAGGGCUGACAAGGCAGAUAUCCUGGUGGGCGUCUGUUAUAGACUGCCAAACCAGGAUGAAGAGGCAGAUGAGCUGUUCUAUAAGCAGCUGGCAGGAGCUGCAUGGUCACCAGCCCUUGUCCUCAUGGGUGACUUUAACUUCCCUGACAUAUGCUGGGAGUACAGCACGGUAGAGAAGAAGCAAUCUAGGAGGUUCCUGGAAUGCAUGAAGGAUAACUUCCUAAUGCAGCUUGUGAGAGAGCCCACAAGAGGAGCUGCCCCGCUAGACCUGCUGUUCACAAACAGGGAAGGUCUGGUGGGAGAUGUGGAGGUUGGGGGCUGUCUUGGACAGAGUGACCAUGAAAUGGUAGAGUUCUCGAUUCUAGGUGGAGCCUGGAGGGAGAAUAGCAAAACUGCCACCUUAGACUUCCGGAGGGCAGACUUUGAUUUGUUCAGAAGACUAGUAGGGGCAGUCCCCUGGCGUUCAGUCUUAGCGAACAAAGGGGUCCAAGAUGGCUGGUCGCUCUUAAAGAAGGAAAUCUUAAAGGCACAGGAGUGGGUGGUCCCCCUGAGCCGCAAAAUGAGCUGGUGGGGAAGAAGACAGACAUGGAUGAACUGGGAGCUGUUCUUAAGGUUGCGGGGAAAAAAAGAGAAUCUACUGCCUGUGGAAGGAGGGAAGAGCAACUCGGAACGACUACAAAGAGGUUGUUAG
rnacentral:lncRNA from 1 species